rnacentral:misc_RNA from 1 species
GUAGGUGGUUCGCCUGCGAAUUUAGUCUGCUUAGCAGGCAACAUCUUUACUGUGCUAGAAAUUACAAUUGUAUUACUAGCAGCCUGCUUAGCAGGUUCACAGAUCAAAUAGAGGUGGCCCUUAGGGGUUGAGACAUGAUCGAGUUGAUGCUGAAAUAGCACUGAGAAAUUGGAACCUGCGGAAGGAUCAUUAAAGAGUCAUUAUGGGCUUACACCCUAAUACUCCACCCUUUGUUUACAUUACCUUUGUUGCUUUGGCAGGCCCGUCCUUGCGACCACUGGCUUCGGCUGGUCCGCGCCUGCCAGAGGACCUAAAACUCUUGUUAAAUCAUAUUGUCUGAGUACUAUAUAAUAGUUAAAACUUUCAACAACGGAUCUCUUGGUUCUG